rnacentral:lncRNA from 1 species
UAGGCUGCUUUGCUUUUUUUGGCUUCAAACUGCCACUGAAUGUCAAAUCAAUUUGGCUUUCAUUAGAACAGCUUUAUAUGUGCAAAUGUAUUUGUGUCUGGUUGCUACUUUUUUCUAUUUUUGCUUUCUUUCCCUUUGCUUUUUUUUUCUCCUUUCCCUUGAAUGAUGUAAUUUUUCUCUAAUCAAAGCCAACACCUGUUUCUCUAAAAUAGGAGCCUCUGUGUAAAGCUCUUUAUCACAAUCUGAGUACACUCUAGAUGGGCUCAUUAUGAAUCAAGUUCUCUCAGAACAAAGAGGAAGUGCUCUGCUACAGUGACAUUGUACAUCAUAAAGCCUGGAUAAAGUCAAGAGCUGAUGUAACCUUGACUUUUGACAUGCCAAGAGACUGUUGUCUAGAUAAUGCAAGGUCCUGCAUUACACCCUCGGUGGUGGGAGAUAUGUUUUAAUGUCCCACACAGGAUGAGGUAUAGCACCACCAGCUACCAAAACCAGCAACCAAGAGGAAGGCACACAAGAAGGCUGCUGAUUUUUGUUCUGAAAUACGAAACUAAAAAUUCCGCUAGUGCCUCAAGGCAUUAUUUCUGCUGUGGGGAGGAAACAGAAGAAAUAGGUAUUGUGUAAAGUGAUUCUUCAUUCACUCAAAACAACGGUAAGAUCAUCAAAAAGAUGUAAUGGCUUUUUGGUUUGCUCCUAGACCAGUUACUAUACCUGUGGAGGAGAUAUCUAGAUUUUUGUAAAAUUGGAUAAAGAGCAUUAUCAUAUCCAACAAUCUAACAUGAACUAAUUUAGAAGUAUAAAGAAGCUAAAUGAAAAAAGUGACCUUCCAAACUUGUACUUUAUUGGACUUUUCAUGAAGCAUAAUUUCUUUUAUAUAAUAAUUUCUGAUUAUAAUAAUCAUGACAUAUUUAUACAUGAUAAGGUACACAAUCCACUACUCAGACUGCUUAUAUGAUAUUUUCAGAUGAAUAAUUAAUUUUUUCUGUAAUAAGGCAGCAAUUUAUAACAUGCAAAAUUCCAAAUAAGACUGAUUUUAAAAUGAGGAGAUUGUAAAUAACAUUAUUUAUAUUAUAUGUUUGGGGUCAAUCUCUGCCUGUGAAACAGGAUUGCUAAUAUUUAAUAAAUAUAAAGUAAAUUGAUUCUAAUUAAUAAUU